rnacentral:rRNA from 1 species
CCUACGGGCGGCAGCAGUCGAGAAUCAUUCACAAUGGGGGAAACCCUGAUGGUGCGACGCCGCGUGGGGGAAUGAAGGUCUUCGGAUUGUAAACCCCUGUCAUGUGGGAGCAAAUUAAAAAGAUAGUACCACAAGAGGAAGAGACGGCUAACUCUGUGCCAGCAGCCGCGGUAAUACAGAGGUCUCAAGCGUUGUUCGGAAUCACUGGGCGUAAAGCGUGCGUAGGCUGUUUCGUAAGUCGUGUGUGAAAGGCGCGGGCUCAACCCGCGGACGGCACAUGAUACUGCGAGACUAGAGUGAUGGAGGGGGAACCGGAAUUCUCGGUGUAGCAGUGAAAUGCGUAGAUAUCGAGAGGAACACUCGUGGCGAAGGCGGGUUCCUGGACAUUAACUGACGCUGAGGCACGAAGGCCAGGGGAGCGAAAGGGAUUAGAUACCCGUGUAGUC